CAAUCCACAGAGUCCAGAGAAGAGCUUGAAGUUUGAUGGCAUGUGGAUUGAUAUGAAUGAACCUUCGAGCUUCGUGAACGGGGCAGUUGCUCCUGGCUGCAGGGAUACAACUCUGAACCGGCCUCCCUACAUGCCACAUUUGGCAGGCAGGGACAGAGGCCUGAGCAGCAAGACCCUGUGCAUGGAGAGCGAGCAGAUCCU